GGUGACCUCAGGUCAGGCGG
rnacentral:rRNA from 3 species